GGGCAUCGGGGUAAGCUUGAUGUCCAUAAGGAAAACAAACCAGACCAAAGUUAAGGUCCCUAAGUAAUAGCUAAGUGUUAAAGAACAAAUAGUGUUUAACAGCAUAGACAGCUGGAAGGUUGGCUUAGAGGCAGCCAUCCUUUAAAGAGUUCGUAACAGAUCACCAGUCAAGUUCUUGAGCCUAGAAAAUGGACGGGACUAAGUUGUUCACCGAUACUUUGGGCCACCGAAAGGUGAUGCGGUAGAGAGGCGUCGUGCGCGGGUGGAAGUGGGGCCGUGAGGUCCUGUGGACCGCGUUCGAAUGAUAAUCAUGGAAAGAGUAGUAGCGUAGAUGGGUGAGAAUCCCAUCCGCCGGAGGGGCUAGGGUUCCUCGACGAUGUUCAUCAGUCGAGGGUUAGUCGGUCCUAAGGUUCCCCCUAACAGGAGGAAUCGAAAGGGAAGCAGGUUAAAAUUCCUGCACCAAUUCAUAUUUUGUCCAGUUCCUGACACAUCGGGUCUUGUGGAGCACUCUUGUCGGAGUGUUGCCUUAAACAAUAAAUUUGUGGAGUACCGUAAUGGUGAGAAGCAAACUAAGCUUUUGGGAGGCGAAGUAUUUCGCUUCUGCGUUAGCCUGGUGUCCGUGAAAAGGGAGCUGGAGCCGUAUGAGUUGUCCGUACCGAGAUCUGACACAGGUGCCCCUAGGUGAGUAGCCUAAGGCGUCGCGGCAGAAUCCGGGCGAGGGAAUUCGGCAAAUUAGCCCCGUACCUUUGGUAUAAGGGGUGCCAGCUCUGAAGAGAGCUGGUCGCAGUGACUAGGGAGCUCCGACUGUUUAUUAAAAACACAGGUGGCUGCUAGUCCGUAAGGAUGUGUAUAGCCGCUGAAUCCUGCCCAGUGGCAGUAUCUGAAACCAGGUUUCAACCUGACGAAGGACUGCUAAACGGCGGGGGUAACUAUGACCCUCUUAAGGUAGCGUAAUACCUUGUCGCUUAAUUGGCGACUUGCACGAACGGCCUAACGAGAGCUCUACUGUCCCCGCCCGGAGCCCGAUGAAAUUGACUUACUGGCGCACAGUCCAGUACGUCCCAGCCGCAAGCGAAGACCCCGUGGAGCUUUACUGCAACCUGCCGUUGUGGCACGAGUUGUUAUGUGUAGCGUAGACGGGAGACAUUACACAGGUGCGAGCGCUAGCUCGUCGCCGAGUCACCGAUGAAACACCGUCCUUUUCGAUUCGUCCCACUCACCUCUUCGGAGGGACCCCGGUAGGCGGGCAGUUUGGGUGGGGCGCCACUCCCUCGAAAAAAUAACAAGGGAGCCCAAAGGUCAGCUUAGGUAGGUCAGGAAUCUACCGUUAAGUGCAAGGGCAAAAGCUGGCUUGACGUGGUUUGGCAACACAACAAACCACGAUGCGAAAGCAGGGCCUAGCGAACCAACCAGCGCCGUUAGUAGGUGCGGUUGAUAACAGAAAAGUUACCCCGGGGAUAACUGAGUUGUCUGGAGCAAGAGCCCACAUCGACCUCCAGGCUUGCUACUUCGAUGUCGUCUCUUCCUAUCCUGGGUGUGCAGAAGCACCCAAGGGUGGGGUUGUUCGCCCAUUAAAAGGGAUCGUGAGAUGGG
rnacentral:rRNA from 1 species